CUACGUGCCAGCAGCCGCGGUAAUACGUAGGGCGCGAGCGUUGUCCGGAAUUAUUGGGCGUAAAGAGCUUGUAGGCGGUUUGUCGCGUCUGCUGUGAAAGGCCGGAGCUUAACUCCGUGUAUUGCAGUGGGUACGGGCAGACUAGAGUGCAGUAGGGGAGACUGGAAUUCCUGGUGUAGCGGUGGAAUGCGCAGAUAUCAGGAGGAACACCGAUGGCGAAGGCAGGUCUCUGGGCUGUAACUGACGCUGAGAAGCGAAAGCAUGGGGAGCGAACAGGAUUAGAUACCCUGGUAGUCCACGCCGUAAACGAUGAGUGCUAGGUGUUAGACCCUUUCCGGGGUUUAGUGCCGUAGCUAACGCAUUAAGCACUCCGCCUGGGGAGUACGACCGCAAGGUUGAAACUCAAAGGAAUUGACGGGGGCCCGCACAAGCGGUGGAGCAUGUGGUUUAAUUCGAAGCAACGCGAAGAACCUUACCAGGUCUUGACAUCCCUCUGACCGCUCUAGAGAUAGAGUUUUC
rnacentral:rRNA from 1 species